CGGACGGGUGAGUAACGCGUGGAAAACCUGCCGUAUACUGGGGGAUAACACUUAGAAAUAGGUGCUAAUACCGCAUAAGCGCACAACUUCGCAUGAAGUGGUGUGAAAAACUCUGGUGGUAUACGAUGGUUCCGCGUCUGAUUAGCUUGUUGGUGGGGUAAUGGCUCACCAAGGCGACGAUCAGUAGCCGGCCUGAGAGGGUGAACGGCCACAUUGGGACUGAGACACGGCCCAAACUCCUACGGAAGGCAGCAG
rnacentral:rRNA from 1 species